UCCCUGGUGGCCUAGUGGUUAAGGAUCUGGCAUUGGCACUGCUAUAACUCAGGUUUGAUCCCUGACCCAAGAA
rnacentral:tRNA from 1 species